rnacentral:rRNA from 1 species
CACGCUGUAAACGAUGAAUACUAGGUGUGCGGGGACUGACCCCCUGCGUGCCGCAGCUAACGCAAUAAGUAUUCCACCUGGGGAGUACGAUCGCAAGGUUGAAACUCAAAGGAAUUGACG